rnacentral:pre_miRNA from 1 species
AUGUAGCACUUCGUCCGAUUCCCCGGCUCACUGAUCAUUUAUUUAAAUAAAUAAAUAAAUGAUCAGUGAGCUGGGGAAUCGGACAAAGUGGUCUC